CAGUAGCCGCGGUAAUACAGAGGGUGCGAGCGUUAAUCGGAUUUACUGGGCGUAAAGCGUGCGUAGGCGGCUUUUUAAGUCGGAUGUGAAAUCCCUGAGCUUAACUUAGGAAUUGCAUUCGAUACUGGGAAGCUAGAGUAUGGGAGAGGAUGGUAGAAUUUCAGGUGUAGCGGUGAAAUGCGUAGAGAUCUGGAGGAAUACCGAUGGCGAAGGCAGCCAUCUGGCCUAAUACUGACGCUGAGGUACGAAAGCAUGGGGAGCAAACAGGAUUAGAUACCCCAGUAGUCCCUGUCUCUUAUAC
rnacentral:rRNA from 1 species